rnacentral:rRNA from 1 species
AUUGAACGCUGGCGGCAGGCCUAACACAUGCAAGUCGAGCGGAUGAAGGGAGCUUGCUCCUGGAUUCAGCGGCGGACGGGUGAGUAAUGCCUAGGAAUCUGCCUGGUAGUGGGGGAUAACGUCCGGAAACGGGCGCUAAUACCGCAUACGUCCUGAGGGAGAAAGUGGGGGAUCUUCGGACCUCACGCUAUCAGAUGAGCCUAGGUCGGAUUAGCUAGUUGGUGGGGUAAAGGCCUACCAAGGCGACGAUCCGUAACUGGUCUGAGAGGAUGAUCAGUCACACUGGAACUGAGACACGGUCCAGACUCCUACGGGAGGGAGCAGUGGGGAAUGUUGGACAGUGGGCGGAAGCCUGAUCCAGCCAUGCCGCGUGUGUGAAGAAGGUCUUCGGAUUGUAAAGCACUUUAAGUUGGGAGGAAGGGCAGUAAGUUAAUACCUUGCUGUUUUGACGUUACCAACAGAAUAAGCACCGGCUAACUUCGUG